rnacentral:rRNA from 1 species
AGUGAACGCUGGCGGUAGGCCUAACACAUGCAAGUCGAACGGCAGCACAGUAAGAGCUUGCUCUUACGGGUGGCGAGUGGCGGACGGGUGAGGAAUACAUCGGAAUCUACUUUUUCGUGGGGGAUAACGUAGGGAAACUUACGCUAAUACAGCAUACGACCUACGGGUGAAAGCAGGGGAUAUUCGGACCUUGCGCGAUUGAAUGAGCCGAUGUCGGAUUAGCUAGUUGGCGGGGUAAAGGCCCACCAAGGCGACGAUCCGUAGCUGGUCUGAGAGGAUGAUCAGCCACACUGGAACUGAGACACGGUCCAGACUCCUACGGGAGGCAGCAGUGGGGAAUAUUGGACAAUGGGCGCAAGCCUGAUCCAGCCAUACCGCGUGGGUGAAGAAGGCCUUCGGGUUGUAAAGCCCUUUUGUUGGGAAAGAAAAGCAGCAGGUUAAUACCCCGCUGUUCUGACGGUACCCAAAGAAUAAGCACCGGCUAACUUCGUG